rnacentral:tRNA from 1 species
CAUUAGAUGGCUGAAAGUAAGCAAUGGAAUUUUAAACCAUAAAAUAGUAUCUCACGCCUACUUCUAAUGG